GACGAACGCUGGCGGCGUGCUUAACACAUGCAAGUCGAACGGAAAGGCCCUGCUUUUGUGGGGUGCUCGAGUGGCGAACGGGUGAGUAACACGUGAGUAACCUGCCCUUGACUUUGGGAUAACUUCAGGAAACUGGGGCUAAUACCGGAUAGGAGCUCCUGCUGCAUGGUGGGGGUUGGAAAGUUUCGGCGGUUGGGGAUGGACUCGCGGCUUAUCAGCUUGUUGGUGGGGUAGUGGCUUACCAAGGCUUUGACGGGUAGCCGGCCUGAGAGGGUGACCGGCCACAUUGGGACUGAGAUACGGCCCAGACUCCUACGGGAGGCAACAGUGGGGAAUAUUGCACAAUGGGCGGAAGCCUGAUGCAGAAACGCCGCGUGCGGGAUGACGGCCUUCGGGUGGUAAACCGCUUUCGCCUGUGACGAAGCGUGAGUGACGGUAAUGGGUAAAGAAGCACCGGCUAACUACGU
rnacentral:rRNA from 1 species